GAUGAAGAACUAGCGAAAUGCGAUAAGUAGUGUGAAUUGCAGAAUUCCGUGAAUCAUCGAAUCUUUGAACGCACAUUGCGCCUUCUGGUAUUCCGGAAGGCAUGCCUGUUCGAGAGUCAUUAACAACCGUUUCGAUCCCUUUCUUUCAGAAAUUACAAAGAGGAAAAGGGUUUGGUUAUGGUGGAGGAGGGAAAGGGAGCGUUUAGCCUGUAAAAAAAGAGGCUGUGUUCCGCCUCCCCCCCAAAAUUGUACAGGCGGUCGUGUGCGCCCACGCAUCGAGGUGUUGUAAAAGCUGCCACGGCACUUUUCACCUGUGCAGUGCGAGAUUGGCCAGCCGGUUUAAAAACCCCUCCAAACAAUCAAAGGUUGACCUCGGAUCAGGUAGGGAUACCCGCUGAACUUAAGCAUAUCAAUAAGCGGAGGA
rnacentral:misc_RNA from 1 species